rnacentral:snRNA from 1 species
GUGCUCACUUCAGCAGCAUAUAUACUAAAAUUGGAAUAUACAGAUAAGAUUAGCAUGACCCCUUCAUAAGGAUGACACUCAAAUUCGUGAAGUGUUCCAUAUUUUU